CCUACGGGGGGCAGCAGUGGGGGAUAUUGCACAAUGGGGGAAACCCUGAUGCAGCGACGCCGCGUGUGGGAAGACGGUCCUCUGGAUUGUAAACCACUGUCCCCAGGGACGAAGAUGACGGUAGCUGGGGAGGAAGCUCCGGCUAACUAGGGGCCAGCAGCCGCGGUAAUACGUAGGGAGCAAGCGUUGUCCGGAAUUACUGGGGGUAAAGGGAGCGUAGGCGGGUUGGAAGGUUGGGUGUUAAAUCUACCGGCUCAACUGGGAGUCGCACUCAAAACUGCUAUUCUUGAGUGCAGUCGCGGAUGGCGGAAUUCCUGGUGUAGCGGUGAAAUGCGUAGAUAUUAGGAAGAACACCGGUGGCGAAGGCGGGCUGCUGGGCUUUUACUGACGCUGAGGCUCGAAAGUGUGGGGAGCAAACAGGAUUAGAUACCCGAGUAGUC
rnacentral:rRNA from 1 species